rnacentral:rRNA from 1 species
UACAGAGGUCUCGAGCGUUGUUCGGAUUCAUUGGGCGUAAAGGGUGCGCAGGCGGCCAAGUGUGUCAGGUGUGAAAUCCCGAGGCUUAACCUCGGAACUGCGCCUGAAACUACUUGGCUAGAGUACUGGAGAGGGUAACGGAAUUCACGGUGUAGCAGUGAAAUGCGUAGAUAUCGUGAGGAACACCAGAGGCGAAGGCGGUUACCUGGACAGUUACUGACGCUCAGGCACGAAAGCGUGGGGAGCAAAAGGG